rnacentral:rRNA from 1 species
AACGAACGCUGGCGGCAGGCCUAACACAUGCAAGUCGAACGCCGUAGCGAUACGGAGUGGCAGACGGGUGAGUAACGCGUGGGAACAUACCCCUCGGUUCGGAAUAACUCAGGGAAACUUGAGCUAAUACCGGAUAAGUCCGAGGUUUUAAUCGACCUUGGAGAAAGAUUUAUCGCCGGAGGAUUGGCCCGCGUCUGAUUAGCUUGUUGGUGAGGUAAUGGCUCACCAAGGCGACGAUCAGUAGCUGGUCUGAGAGGAUGAUCAGCCACAUUGGGACUGAGACACGGCCCAAACUCCUACGGGAGGCAGCAGUGGGGAAUAUUGGACAAUGGGCGAAAGCCUGAUCCAGCCAUGCCGCGUGAGUGAACAAGGCCUGCGGGUUGUAAAGC